GGAGUCUAACAUGUGCGCGAGUCACUGGGAACCACUAAACCCAGAGGCGCAAUGAAAGUGGGGCGGCCUCGUGCCGCCGAGGGAGGAUGGUUCUCCUCUGGGGAACCCGCACUCCCGGGGCGCCCCGGCCUCGGCCGUGGGCGCACUCAGAGCGUACACGUUGGGACCCGAAAGAUGGUGAACUAUGCCUGGUCAGGACGAAGUCAGGGGAAACCCUGAUGGAGGU
rnacentral:rRNA from 1 species